GUCUUUUCCUUCUAGAACCUUCCAAGGGACUCAAGAGCAACACCUGCCAGGCUGAGCAGUGAAGGACAGACUCUUCAGUGAUGGUAGUCCAGUUCUGAGUAUUUUGUUUCAUGGAAUAGUCAGCAGCUACUCAGGCAGCUGGAGACAUAAGGAGAAAUCAACCCAACAAGAGCAGCCCUGCACAGCACCAUGAUGGAGUGGGGAAGAUGAACGGUAUUUGAAGACCGUGGUUCCAACAAGCCAAUUCAGUGCAGCCGGCCCUAAGGAAUCCAAGUCAAAGCAGUGCUCCCCAGUGCACAGAGUCCAGACGUUCUCAUACAACCCAGUAUCAUCUAAGAUCCAGAACUGUGGGUGGCAACAUCAUUGAUGGAUCAUCAGAUCUGUUUAGGUGGUUAUUAAACAAGAUUUUGUUGGAAUCGAAUGCAAUAAGAUAGAAUGGAAUGAAAAUGAACAGAACACAUCUCCCACGCUUUACAUGAGGACCUUUGUUCAUGUCAUUUGAAGUAACCAACAUCUACGUGAAAAACACAAGGGGCAAGACAUCCCAAAUUUUGUUCACUCAGUCAUCAUCUUUCCAUUUGAAUGUGAAUUAUUCUUUACACUAGUACUAGAACACCUAGUACAAUGCUUUGCACAUAGUCACUCAAUAAGUACACUGAACCUAAAUGAAUUAUGUAUUUUGAGAAGGCAGUAAAAACUAGAUGUUUGGUUUAACUAUCAAGUGGGAAAAAAUAGAAGUGGACAUAUGAAUAAUUGUGACAAAAACCAACAACUAGCUCAUUGCAUUUCUGACCGGUGUGCCCUUUUCCCCUUACAUUUAAAGGGAAGGGAAGGGUAGGGGAGGGGAGGGAAGGGGUAAGGAGGGAAAGAUUAAAGGAAGAAAAGGAAAAAAAGACAGAUCAAGACAACCAAGAUUUUCAAACUUCAUGUGCCCCCACUAAUAAUAAACUGGUUGAAUUUCAAACCUCACAUCAACCAUAAUCCCUUCAAUCCCCAGCAAGCCACAGCAAAUAGAAAUCCACUGGACUCUUUCAGGCCUUGCAAAGACAAACCACCGUUCAUCAAAGAUAUGUUGACAUUGAUGAAUUGCUCACCUCAUACUCAUGACACUGUCUGUGAAAGUGAUUUGUGUACAUUAGGGCGCACAUUAGGAUAACACAGGAAGCCUUCAGGAGUGAACCAAGACAGAGAAGAGAAUGGAUGGCUGAUGACAGGAAGCUCCAAGAGUGGGUCAGAAUGGGGUAAUCACAGUGGCAUCUGGAGUCCAGAGGGAGGCUACCUGCACAGGUGGCAGAAUUCGGU